rnacentral:tRNA from 1 species
GCUGGCGUAGCUCAGCUAGUAGAGCAGCGCAUUCGUAAUGCGCGGGCCGGAGGUGCAAUUCCUCUCGCCAGCU